rnacentral:rRNA from 1 species
AGUGAACGCUGGCGGUAGGCCUAACACAUGCAAGUCGAACGGCAGCACAGGAGAGCUUGCUCUCUGGGUGGCGAGUGGCGGACGGGUGAGGAAUACAUCGGAAUCUACUCUGUCGUGGGGGAUAACGUAGGGAAACUUACGCUAAUACCGCAUACGACCUACGGGUGAAAGCAGGGGACCUUCGGGCCUUGCGCGAUUGAAUGAGCCGAUGUCGGAUUAGCUAGUUGGCGGGGUAAAGGCCCACCAAGGCGACGAUCCGUAGCUGGUCGGAGAGGAUGAGCAGCGACACUGGAACGGAGAAACGGUCCAGGCUCCUACGGGAGGCAGCAGUGGGGAAUAUUGGACGAGGGGCGCAAGCCUGAUCCAGCCAUACCGCGUGGGUGAAGAAGGCCUUCGGGUUGUAAAGCCCUUUUGUUGGGAAAGAAAUCCAGCUGGCUAAUACCCGGUUGGGAUGACGGUACCCAAAGAAUAAGCACCGGCUAACUUCGUGCCAGCAGCAGCCGUAA